AGGUGAGGACAGGCACACCUGCUUUCCCGCCCAAACUUCGCAUUUUCCAAGACCACCCUGGCUCUCCACGCCCCCAUUCUGGGCCUAUAAAAACCCAAGACCCUUGCAGGCAGAUACACAAGUGGCUGGACGUCCUAAUGAACAACACAUCAGGGGAAGAAGACACAAGCGCUGGUCAUCCAUAGGAGCACCCCAGCAGAAGGACACGCUGACAGGCACCCGGAAGCCAGUAGGCCGUGGACCAGCGGGAGGAGGCGGGGAUUGGCCUGGGCAGGCAGGGGACAGCCGGGGCUGCCGAGCACCGCAACUCCAGGGGAAAACCAUCUCCCUUCUGGCUGCCCCAUGAGCGGAGAGCUACUUCCACUCAAUAAAACUUUGCACUCAUUCUCCAACCCUAUGUGUGAUCCGAUUCUUCAGGUACAACAAGGCAAGAACCCAGAUACAGAAAGCCCUCUGUCCUUGCCACAACGUAGAGGGCCUAAUUGAGCUGGUUAACACGAGCCGCUUAUAGAUGGCAAACUAAGAGAGUAUCCUGUAACAUGCCCACUGGGGCUUCAGGAGCUGUAAACAUUCACCCCUAGAACCUGCCCUGGGGUAGGAGUCCCACAGCCUGCCCGUCUGUAUGCUCCCCUAGAGGUCUGAGCAGCGGGGCACUGAAGAAGCCAGCUAUGCCCCCAUCGCGAGCCCCGCGAGGGGGAGGAGGGAGCCUUUGCCUUUUCAACUGGAGACAUCGACCGGGAUCCUGGAAGGUGAGUGUGUAUGAAUUGCGAAACUGGUCUUCCUCUCUUCUGAAACUCUGCCACCUCUCUCUCUUUCCUGUGAGUAAGAGACUCUGUUUCCCUUCAGGGAGUUUUAAACUGCCCUAACCGGCCGUCAAAACCCCCAGACUUUAAUUAUAAAAUAAGUAAUGAACAAUUCUUAAUCAGUUAUAAUAACAAUUACAAAUUAUGUUAUUUAUAUAUUAAGUUACAAAUAUAGGCUACAAACAAUGAGUGCAUAUUUCUGUAAGCAAAUAUGCUAUAGGAUUUUAAAAUAAAUUACCUAAUUUAAUUAUUGGAUAAGUUUUAUUAACUAUUAUUAUAACUAUUCCUUAGGUGAAGGCAUAGAGGCUCUGAAAGUUUAAAUUAUUUGCUCUACCAACCAAUAUACAUUUUCAAUUAUGAAUUGGAAAUGUAUGUCUAAGGAACUCAGUACUAAAUUUUUUUUCAUGUAUCAAGUGCGUUUUUAGUAUAUAAGGAGAAUAUGCAUUAUAUGUUGGCAAGAAGAUGUUGGGAUAAAUCAGGAAUUAUUUUUUAUCGAUCCUGGUCUAGAUAUACUUUAUAUGUAUUGUUACUUUUUUUAUCCUGACAAUAAAGCCUGUGAAUAAGAAAACCAUUAACCAUCAGAGAAAAAAGCCAUUCCCAGGUAUAUAGUCAUCUAUUUUAAUUAAGCAUAUUAUAUUUAAUUAAAUACAGCUAAUAGAAUUUUCUAAAUUUUACCUUUUGUUUUCAGUUUAGAGACCACCAAGAAAACAAUGAAAUAAAAUUUACAGAUUUAUGCCAAUUAUUUGUUAGAAAUGCCACAUUGGAAAUGAAAGCCACGAAUAUCAGUACUAACAUUUAUGCAUGUCAAUAUCUAAGAAGCAUAUGAACUCUCUUUUUUAUAUUUUACUUGAAGUGUCAGUGAGAAUACCUUCAACAAAGUUGAUGGAAAAAGUUCUCUCGCGUAUUGAUUAGACGUACAUAAAUAGGAAUCUCAUGAUUGGAGAAUAGAGGAUACUAAUGCGUAGGCUAUUUCCCAUCUUCCCGCUCAAGUUAAUCACAACUUUUUUAUUUAACUCCUCCUUUGUAUUCAGAACUCAGUUUAGUCGUCUCCUAAAUCUUUUCUCUUGCCUCCUUGAUUUGUUCAAAUACCUUUAUGCCGUCAUAAGAAUAUUCACUUCUCCUUCAAGGCUUUUUCUUAGUUAUAAUAUUACAUGCAUUUUUGUAAGUCUUAAUGUUUGUCUCAUCUACUACAUGGUGAAUUUGAGGAGAACAAAGAUCAUGCGUCUUUUUUGUGGUUGAUAUUUUAACAUACUCUAGCUUCAGGACAGUGUCUGGCACAUAGUACAUAGGUAAUAAGUAUCCAGGAAAUGAAUGAGAAGAUCUAUUUUCUGAAACAGAAAAGUAUUUGUGAAAUAUUACUCUUUCCUUGGCAAAUAAAAACCAUGAAAACAACAUUUUCUAUCAAUUGGGCAAGGAUCUGUGAUGGACUGAUGGAAGGAGUAAACAAAGGAAUAAAAAUAAUUGAGGCCAAAAAUCUAUUUACCAUAAAUUACAAAUUCUAUACUUUGAACUUCUCUCUUGCUUUUUUUUUUUCAAAUAUGUAUAAGUAGCUGCGGGAUGAAUAAACUUUUUCACUUUUGAAUUAUCUAGUGAUUCUAAACACAAAGGACCCUGGUAGGAUUCAGAAAACGUAAGUUGCAUUCAGAAUUAGUCAUUGAACAUAUGUUAUUGUGGUAAGUAGUGAGCAGCAGAAUUAGAGUUUUGAUUGAAAGUAUUUUUUCAAACCUCCUGUAAGACUGUUAAAGCCUUUUUGUUUCUGUGUGGGUCUUAAACUGUAAAACCUACCAGAAAGUUUUACUUUUUUAGUUUGCUAUGCCUAGGAAAUGGUUUAAAUAAUUUAAAAUUUUGGAAAACAACAUGUAUUUUCAACACAUCGAUAAGUCACACACACACAUAAAUAUGAUUUCUGAUUAGCGCUAGCAGAUUAUAAAGCUGAAUUGUUAAUCUAUUCAGUAAGAGAUUUUCACAAAAUUUAUUGAAAAAGAGAAAUGAUAAAUAAAAAUUAUAUACCAAUUUGACUUAAUUUAUGCUGAGGUAUAUAAAUGAUGCUACAACUUUCACAUCUGGGUCACUCUUGUUGAGAAAUGCAUAAAGGAGGAAACAAAGCAUAUAGAAUACAUGCUAGAAGAAAAUGCUUUUUCAACAGAAAAGAGGUUUGCUUGUUAAAAGACAAUUAAAAAAAAUUGGAUCAGCAGUUGCCACCUUACACAAGUCAGAAGGAUAUUUAUAGCUGAAUAUUCAGCCUGUAGCUUUCUGUAAAAGUUUUAAAUAUACAUUGAAAAUCUGAAGGAUCAUCUUCGAAAUGAACCCUAUCCAUUAGUAAUUUACAGUCUAUUUACUCUUAUUCAAUUCUAAGUAUGUCUGUGAGAUUUUAAAAUAUAUUCAGUGUUUGCUAUUAUACUUGGAGCUUUAGAGUAUUUUUUCACUCUCUAUUUGUGUAUGUGAGUGGCUAUAGGAAUGUUUCCUUGGAAGUUGUAGGUGGGUUUUUAGGACUGUUAUCUAUGAGCAUGCAUGGCUAUAAACGCAUUAAUUGAAGGGUAUUCAUGAUAACAGGACAGCUCUGACAUUGUUUUUGUCUUGUAGGAUUUGCUCUUUAUUUGGUGAUGUAAAAUUUAUCGUGGUCGCAUUUUGUUAAUGUUAAAAUAUUCUUCAAGAAUUCAUUUAACUAAGAUUGAUCAGAAUAACUAUAACUACAAAGAAAUGAUAUCACGAGGAAAAAAUCUUUAUUGAAAUACCAAAUUAUCACUAGUAUUAAAUAAAUAAACCUUCAAAUGCUGCAGCA
rnacentral:lncRNA from 1 species